rnacentral:rRNA from 1 species
GAUGAACGCUGGCGGCGUGCCUAAUACAUGCAAGUCGAGCGAACGGACGAGAAGCUUGCUUCUCUGAUGUUAGCGGCGGACGGGUGAGUAACACGUGGAUAACCUACCUAUAAGUCUGGGAUAACUUCGGGAAACCGGAGCUAAUACCGGAUGAUAUUUUGAACCGCAUGGUUCAAAAGUGAAAGACGGUUUUGCUGUCACUUAUAGAUGGAUCCGCGCUGCAUUAGCUAGUUGGUAAGGUAACGGAUUACCAAGGCAACGAUGCGUAGCCGACCUGAGAGGGUGAUCGGCCACACUGGAACGGAGACACGGUCCAGACUCCUAAGGGAGGCAGCAGUAGGGAAUCUUCCGCAAUGGGCGAAAGCCUGACGGAGCAACGCCGCGUGAGUGAUGAAGGUCUUCGGAGCGUAAAACUCUGUUAUUAGGGAAGAACAUAUGUGUAAGGAACUGUGCACAUCUUGACGGUACCUAAACAGAAAGCCACGGCUAACUACGUG